rnacentral:rRNA from 1 species
GGUGGGAUGACGUCAAGUCAUCGACUUGGCCCUUACGGCCGUGGGCUACACACGUGACUACAAUGGUCGGUACAAAGGGUUGCCAAGCCGCGAGGUGGAGCUAAUCCCAAUAAAACCGAUCGUAGUCCGGAUCGCAGUCUGCAACUCGACUGCGUGAAGUCGGAAUCGCUAGUAAUCGUGAAUCAGAAUGUCACGGUGAAUACGUUCCCGGGCCUU